GUGACUGCGUACCUUUUGUAUAAUGGGUCAGCGACUUAUAUUCUGUAGCAAGGUUAACCGAAUAGGGGAGCCGAAGGGAAACCGAGUCUUAACUGGGCGUUAAGUUGCAGGGUAUAGACCCGAAACCCGGUGAUCUAGCCAUGGGCAGGUUGAAGGUUGGGUAACACUAACUGGAGGACCGAACCGACUAAUGUUGAAAAAUUAGCGGAUGACUUGUGGCUGGGGGUGAAAGGCCAAUCAAACCGGGAGAUAGCUGGUUCUCCCCGAAAGCUAUUUAGGUAGCGCCUCGUGAAUUCAUCUCCGGGGGUAGAGCACUGUUUCGGCAAGGGGGUCAUCCCGACUUACCAACCCGAUGCAAACUGCGAAUACCGGAGAAUGUUAUCACGGGAGACACACGGCGGGUGCUAACGUCCGUCGUGAAGAGGGAAACAACCCAGACCGCCAGCUAAGGUCCCAAAGUCAUGGUUAAGUGGGAAACGAUGUGGGAAGGCCCAGACAGCCAGGAUGUUGGCUUAGAAGCAGCCAUCAUUUAAAGAAAGCGUAAUAGCUCACUGGUCGAGUCGGCCUGCGCGGAAGAUGUAACGGGGCUAAACCAUGCACCGAAGCUGCGGCAGCGACGCUGAUGCGUUGUUGGGUAGGGGAGCGUUCUGUAAGCCUGUGAAGGUGUACUGUGAGGUAUGCUGGAGGUAUCAGAAGUGCGAAUGCUGACAUAAGUAACGAUAAAGCGGGUGAAAAGCCCGCUCGCCGGAAGACCAAGGGUUCCUGUCCAACGUUAAUCGGGGCAGGGUGAGUCGACCCCUAAGGCGAGGCCGAAAGGCGUAGUCGAUGGGAAACAGGUUAAUAUUCCUGUACUUGGUGUUACUGCGAAGGGGGGACGGAGAAGGCUAUGUUGGCCGGGCGACGGUUGUCCCGGUUUAAGCGUGUAGGCUGGUUUUCCAGGCAAAUCCGGAAAAUCAAGGCUGAGGCGUGAUGACGAGGCACUACGGUGCUGAAGCAACAAAUGCCCUGCUUCCAGGAAAAGCCUCUAAGCAUCAGGUAACAUCAAAUCGUACCCCAAACCGACACAGGUGGUCAGGUAGAGAAUACCAAGGCGCUUGAGAGAACUCGGGUGAAGGAACUAGGCAAAAUGGUGCCGUAACUUCGGGAGAAGGCACGCUGAUAUGUAGGUGAAGCGACUUGCUCGUGGAGCUGAAAUCAGUCGAAGAUACCAGCUGGCUGCAACUGUUUAUUAAAAACACAGCACUGUGCAAACACGAAAGUGGACGUAUACGGUGUGACGCCUGCCCGGUGCCGGAAGGUUAAUUGAUGGGGUCAGCGCAAGCGAAGCUCUUGAUCGAAGCCCCGGUAAACGGCGGCCGUAACUAUAACGGUCCUAAGGUAGCGAAAUUCCUUGUCGGGUAAGUUCCGACCUGCACGAAUGGCGUAAUGAUGGCCAGGCUGUCUCCACCCGAGACUCAGUGAAAUUGAACUCGCUGUGAAGAUGCAGUGUACCCGCGGCAAGACGGAAAGACCCCGUGAACCUUUACUAUAGCUUGACACUGAACAUUGAGCCUUGAUGUGUAGGAUAGGUGGGAGGCUUUGAAGUGUGGACGCCAGUCUGCAUGGAGCCGACCUUGAAAUACCACCCUUUAAUGUUUGAUGUUCUAACGUGGACCCGUAAUCCGGGUUGCGGACAGUGUCUGGUGGGUAGUUUGACUGGGGCGGUCUCCUCCUAAAGAGUAACGGAGGAGCACGAAGGUUGGCUAAUCCUGGUCGGACAUCAGGAGGUUAGUGCAAUGGCAUAAGCCAGCUUGACUGCGAGCGUGACGGCGCGAGCAGGUGCGAAAGCAGGUCAUAGUGAUCCGGUGGUUCUGAAUGGAAGGGCCAUCGCUCAACGGAUAAAAGGUACUCCGGGGAUAACAGGCUGAUACCGCCCAAGAGUUCAUAUCGACGGCGGUGUUUGGCACCUCGAUGUCGGCUCAUCACAUCCUGGGGCUGAAGUAGGUCCCAAGGGUAUGGCUGUUCGCCAUUUAAAGUGGUACGCGAGCUGGGUUUAGAACGUCGUGAGACAGUUCGGUCCCUAUCUGCCGUGGGCGCUGGAGAACUGAGGGGGGCUGCUCCUAGUACGAGAGGACCGGAGUGGACGCAUCACUGGUGUUCGGGUUGUCAUGCCAAUGGCACUGCCCGGUAGCUAAAUGCGGAAGAGAUAAGUGCUGAAAGCAUCUAAGCACGAAACUUGCCCCGAGAUGAGUUCUCCCUGACUCCUUGAGAGUCCUGAAGGAACGUUGAAGACGACGACGUUGAUAGGCCGGGUGUGUAAGCGCAGCGAUGCGUUGAGCUAACCGGUACUAAUGAACCGUGAGGCUUAACCUUACAACGCCGAAGCUGUU
rnacentral:rRNA from 1 species